rnacentral:tRNA from 2 species
GGAGGCGUAGUCCUAAUUGGUAAGGCACCGCACUCGAAAUGCGGCGUGCGCGAGCACUUGGGGGUUCGAGUCCCUCCGCCUCCG